rnacentral:lncRNA from 1 species
AAUACUUAGAAGAAAUCUUCAAACACGGAAACAAAAUAUCAAACUUGGGUCAGGCAACCCUAUAGGGGAUAAACUGUAGGCAACCCUUAAAGGAAACUGCCUAUGCUGAGGGAAUCGAAAAUGAAUCCUUCAUCCACACGUGACAUGCUGGGGAUGAAAAGGGAAAUAAGACCUUCACCAAUUUCUCUAGACAACUUCUUGCUGAGGAAACAAUGGAAAGUUGAUGGAGAGGAU